UACGUAGGGGGCAAGCGUUGUCCGGAUUUAUUGGGCGUAAAGAGCGUGUAGGCGGCCAAGCAGGUCCGCUGUGAAAACUCGAGGCUCAACCUCGAGACGUCGGUGGAAACCGUUUGGCUAGAGUCCGGAAGAGGAGAGUGGAAUUCCCGGUGUAGCGGUGAAAUGCGCAGAUAUCGGGAAGAACACCCGUGGCGAAGGCGGCGACCUGGGUGGAUACUGACGCUGAGGCGCGAAAGCGUGGGGAGCAAACAGG
rnacentral:rRNA from 1 species